ACCCACGUGGCGAUGUGCUAUUGUUUUAAUUGCUUCUUUUUCGUAUUCGCGAAGAAAAUUUAACUACCCGAGUUUAUUUACAUCCUCGCUUAUCUACGUCUCGGAAAGUGGCUACUAUAAAGCACAUGAGAUUAUGGAUUCAAAAUCAAUAAUUGCAUUGGAACCAGCAUCUGGAAGAUUGAAGAGUAAUUCAAGUGUUAAAAAUGUAAUUCAACAGAAGAACCGCGUCACAUUUAAAUUUUAAAUUUAAUUCCGCCAAUCGAUUGACCCAAAUUAUGGCUUGAAAUUAUUUAAUUAGAUUGAAAGGGAUAUUGCACCUGAGUCUCACAUCGUAGAGUAACCAUUCUUGCAUCAGAUUGGAUAUUGCAGCUGAGUCUGACAUCGUAGAAUGACCAUUUUUGCAUCAGAUUGGAUAUUGCACCUGAGUCUGACAUCUUAGAGUGACCAUUCUUGCAUCAGAUUGAAUAUUGCACCUGAGUCUGACAUCUUAGAGUGACCAUUCUUGCAUCAGAUUGGAUAUUGCACCUGAGUCUGACAUCGUAGAAUGACCAUUCUUGCAUGAGAUUGUGUUCUGCACCCGCACUUUUAUGGAAAAACUUUUGAAUUAACGAGAAAAAUUUACUUUUUGUAUUUCCAAGCACUGAUUUUUGCUGGUUACUGAAACUGUUUGUUUAGAUUUAGUCAUUCUGAAUAGUUUUUGGAUUAUACAUAACAUGGAUUGUGUUUUAUUAAUUUUCGUUCAAGUGAGUGAAAUAGAAAUAUCAGGAUGAAGUGUUAUGUUUAAUCUAUGUACUCUAUAUGAUCUGCAGAAUUUUCUGCACCUUGUUUAUGCUCUCAGUUCGACCUUGGCUUGCACAGCACGCUGUGCGCUGACAUUUGAAAUUUGAACAGUACCGCACCGGUCGCCGUAUGUCGUCGGCUUCAAGUGACAAUUCUCUAUACUGCUCAGCACAUCUUGCGCUGUCGUUUAUCCUGUUUAGUCAGUCAGAGGUACGCAAUUGUGUGGCGUGUUCUGUUUCACCGCCGGUCUUCAUCGCGACUGUUAACAUUUCGGGAGACUUUAAUACGGUGCGAGCCUUAGAAUCGUUUAGUCAUCGAUUGCUAUUAACAACUGAACAAGUGAUUUAUCUCGAAUCGACUCGAGGCUUAAGACACCACGUGCGCGUGUGUAAGCCAUCAGCCGCCGGCCGUCGGAUCUCUUACGUUGGGCUACGGAUUCUAAUUGGAUUUAUAGGCCAAAAUGGUAUUGUUAAUUCGAGGGGAUAAAUCACACGAUUUCUCCGGGUGGCAUAGUUGUUAGUAAUACAGAUAUGCGUCUUAAAUCAUAUUUCAUAUGAAGCUUAUGUGAGUGCAACAUAACUAAAGCAUGAGUUGUCGUUUUUAAAAA